rnacentral:rRNA from 1 species
GACGAACGCUGGCGGCGUGCUUAACACAUGCAAGUCGAACGGAAAGGCCCUGCUUUGGUGGGGUGCUCGAGUGGCGAACGGGUGAGUAACACGUGAGUAACCUGCCCUUGACUUUGGGAUAACUUCAGGAAAGUGGGGCUAAUAGCGGAUAGGAGCUCCUGCUGCAUGGUGGGGGUGGGAAAGUUUCGGCGGUUGGGGAUGGACUCGCGGCUUAUCAGCUUGUUGGUGGGGUAGUGGAUUACCAAGGCUUUGACGGGUAGCCGGCCUGAGAGGGUGACCGGCCAAAUUGGGCCUGGGAUGCGGCACAGACUCCUCCGGGAGGCAGAAGUGCGGAAUAUUGCACUAUGGGAGGAAGGCUGAUGCAGCCAAGCCGCGUGCGGGAUGACGGCAUUCGGUUUGUAAACCGAUUUCGCCUGUGACGAAGCGUGAGUGACGGUAAUGGGUAAAGAAGCACCGGCUAACUCCGUG